rnacentral:rRNA from 1 species
GAUGAACGCUGGCGGCGUGCUUAACACAUGCAAGUCGAACGAUGAAGCCCAGCUUGCUGGGUGGAUUAGUGGCGAACGGGUGAGUAACACGUGAGUAACCUGCCCUUAACUCUGGGAUAAGCCUGGGAAACUGGGUCUAAUACCGGAUAGGAGCGUCCACCGCAUGGUGGGUGUUGGAAAGAUUUAUCGGUUUUGGAUGGACUCGCGGCCUAUCAGCUUGUUGGUGAGGUAAUGGCUCACCAAGGCGACGACGGGUAGCCGGCCUGAGAGGGUGACCGGCCACACUGGGACUGAGACACGGCCCAGAAUCCUACGGGAGGCAGCAGUGGGGAAUAUUGCACAAUGGGCGCAAGCCUGAUGCAGCGACGCCGCGUGAGGGAUAACGGCCUUCGGGUUGUAAACCUCUUUCAGUAGGGAAGAAGAGAAAGUGACGGUACCUGCAGAAGAAGCACCGGCUAACUACGUG